AGAGUUUGAUCAUGGCUCAGAUUGAACGCUGGCGGCAUGCCUUACACAUGCAAGUCGAACGGUAACGCGGGGCAACCUGGCGACGAGUGGCGAACGGGUGAGUAAUGCAUCGGAACGUGCCCAGUAGUGGGGGAUAGCCCGGCGAAAGCCGGAUUAAUACCGCAUACGACCUACGGGUGAAAGCGGGGGACCGUAAGGCCUCGCGCUAUUGGAGCGGCCGAUGUCAGAUUAGGUAGUUGGUGGGGUAAAGGCCUACCAAGCCUACGAUCUGUAGCUGGUCUGAGAGGACGACCAGCCACACUGGGACUGAGACACGGCCCAGACUCCUACGGGAGGCAGCAGUGGGGAAUUUUGGACAAUGGGCGCAAGCCUGAUCCAGCCAUGCCGCGUGCGGGAAGAAGGCCUUCGGGUUGUAAACCGCUUUUGUCAGGGAAGAAAUCCUUUGGGUUAAUACCCCGGGGGGAUGACGGUACCUGAAGAAUAAGCACCGGCUAACUACGUGCCAGCAGCCGCGGUAAUACGUAGGGUGCAAGCGUUAAUCGGAAUUACUGGGCGUAAAGCGUGCGCAGGCGGUUUUGUAAGACAGAGGUGAAAUCCCCGGGCUCAACCUGGGAACUGCCUUUGUGACUGCAAGGCUUGAGUGCGGCAGAGGGGGAUGGAAUUCCGCGUGUAGCAGUGAAAUGCGUAGAUAUGCGGAGGAACACCGAUGGCGAAGGCAAUCCCCUGGGCCUGCACUGACGCUCAUGCACGAAAGCGUGGGGAGCAAACAGGAUUAGAUACCCCGGUAGUCCAA
rnacentral:rRNA from 1 species